rnacentral:rRNA from 1 species
CGGGGUGAGUACAACAUAGGAAAUCUGCCUUAGGGUGGGGGACAACAGAGGGAAACUUCUGCUAAUACCCCAUAUGAGCUUGGUUGAAAUACCAAUCUUGAAAGUUCCGGCGCCCUAAGGUGAGCCUGUGCCUGAUUAGCUAGUUGGUGGUGUAAUGGACUACCAAGGCGACGAUCAGUAGCUGGUUUGAGAGGAUGAUCAGCCACAAUGGGACUGAGACACGGCCCAUACUCCUACGGAAGGCAGCAG